rnacentral:rRNA from 1 species
CCUACGGGUGGCAGCAGUGAGGAAUAUUGGUCAAUGGGCGAGAGCCUGAAGCAGCCACGCCGCGUGAAUGAUGACUGCCCUCUGGUUUGUAAACUUCUUUUAUAUAGGAAUAAAAUGUUCCACGUGAGUGUUUUUGUUUCUACCAUAUGAAUACGGAUCGCCUAACUCCCUGCCAGCCGCCGCGGUAAUACGGAGGAUCCGAGCGUUAGCCUGUUUUAUUUGGUUUACAGGGAGCGUAGGUGGUUUGUUAAGUCAGUUGUGAAAGUUUGCGGCUCAACCAUAAAAUUGCAGUUGAAACUGGCAGUCUUGAGUACAGUAGAGGGGGGCGGAAUUCGAGGUGUAGCGGUGAAAUGCUUAGAUAUAACGAAGAACUCCGAUUGCGAAGGCAGUUCACUGGACUGCAACUGACACUGAGGUUCGAAAGUGUGGGUAUCAAACAGGAUUAGAUACCCUUGUAGUC